UACGUAGGGGGCAAGCGUUGUCCGGAAUUAUUGGGCGUAAAGCGCGUGUAGGCUGCUCGGAAAGUCGGAUGUGAAAGCCCUGGGCUCAACCCAGGAAGUGCACUCGAAACUCCCGAGCUCGAGUCCUGGAGAGGAAGGCGGAAUUCUCGGUGUAGAGGUGAAAUGCGUAGAGAUCGGGAAGAACAUCGGUGGCGAAAGCGCUCUACUGGACCGCAACUGACACUCAGGGACGAAAGCUAGGGGAGCGAAUGGG
rnacentral:rRNA from 1 species